UUAGAACGCACUGUACUCCAACCGAAGAAAGGCGAAUUGGAUAGCCCAGAGAACUAUAGGCCAAUAACCUGUUUGAACACACUCUAGAAGAUAUUUAAAGCUACCCUAAACGAUAGGAUUGUUCAAGGAAUUGGGCAUAUGUGUAGAGAAAUUUACGAACAUGGCUCGAAAAAAAGUGUAAAGGCUGUCGAGAGAACCUACUGAUUCACUGGUGUUUAUUUAUAGACACAGUGGUCUACCAGCGUUGCCUGUAGAUGGCCUGGAUUGACUUUGACUGUACGACAGUCGAUCUGAGUUUACUGAGUGACUGUAUUAGUGUUUAGUGCGAGUUCUGUACGGCGGUGAAUUUCGACUGAGGUAACACAUCACCCCAGUUAACCAUUUAAGUUCGAGAAUUGUCUCGACUGAGGAUGCGGAAAUUGCUAGACCAUCAAGCACUAAGCGAAGAAGAUUCGCUUCCCGUGCAACGUCGCGCCGGUGCGGUGUCACGACGAGGACGUAAACAUAUUGUCGAAUUGAGGACGUAUACAAUUCAGAUUAAAGUGGAUUUCAAUUGGAAAUCCACUCAGGCCGUACGUUAGCAGUUGAGGGAAAAAGACAAGUACAAUGCUUGGUACAAUCGAUAACUUCCAGUUGUAGUGAAAGACUUGUUCAAACCAGACAACGUAUAUGUAACUGCUUCAAAAUCCGGAAAAUUAACUUCAGAUCACUUUCAAACAUGGCUUAAAGAAGUAUACUUUCCAAAUGUUGGUUCAUCAAGUAUACUAUUGAUUGACUCCUGGAGUGGACAUUGCCCUUCUGUGGUGGAAAACGUAAAACCUAUGGAUAAAGAAAUAACUUAAAAAAUUAUUCCAACAGGAACUACGAGUAAAAUACAACCGUUGGAUGUAUUUGGCUUCAGAAUUUGGAAAAAUUAUGAAUACUUUUUUCACAGCGUUAUAUUAAUGGAUGAAGAUUUAAAUUUUCACUUAAGAAAUAAUAUUAUUAGGCUUCAAUCAUUAGUGCACAAUCAACUGUCUUCAACAAGAUUCAUAAAUUUAUUUAAAUAUUCAUGGUAUAAAAGUGGUUACAUUGAUGUAGAGCUGAAAAAGUUGGAAAAUCCAGCCGACUUUGCUUUUGGAUCGCAAUCUAAUAUACAUUGCGAAAUCCCAGGUUGUUCCAAUAUUGCAAUUCUUCGAUGUUCUGGGUGUAAAAAAGCAUUAUGUUUGAAACACUUUUUCAAUGAUUAU